rnacentral:snRNA from 1 species
CUACUUACCUGGCAGGGGAGAUACUAUGAUCACGAAGGUGGUUUUCCCAGGGUGAGGCUUAUCCAUUGCACUCCGGAUGUGCUGACCCCUGCAAUUUCCCCAAAUGUGGGAAACUUGACUGCAUAAUUUGUGGUAGUGGGCGACUGU